CAGUCUUCAAAGUCCUCAUGAAGUGGGAAGGGACCUUGCACAGGUGGGAAAAAGAUCUGGGGAGAUGAAGUGAGAAGCCAGAACCGUUAGUGAUGGAUCAGAGCCCAGAAUCCUGAUGUCGGAUGGGCUUUGACUUCAAAGGAAUGUGCAGGGCAAAGAUCAGCCAACAGGGAGCUUCACCCCAGCCGGGAAGGAUGGAAAGGAGCUUCCAGAGUCUCUUCAGAUCAAAAGGUCCCUGCUACCCUGAUGACUGUGUCGUCACGCCCAACUGAACUACCGCUGCCUAACUUGGAAUUUGUUCCACAUAACAGUCUUAGCACCAUCUUCCUUGAGACUCCUGCGCCAUGAGAGCGAAGUGGCAGAAGAGAAUGUGCAGGCUGAAGCGCAAGAGAAGAAAGAUGAGGCAGAGGUCCAAGUAAGCCAGCGGUGCACCCACGACACCUGCAGGAGCAGAAGUGAGGGAUGCUGAGGGCCGGGAUAAGCUAUCCGACUGUGUGCUGCCAUCGGUAAUGAGUCUCAGUAGACCUGGAACGUCACCUCGCCGCGAUUGCCUAGAGAAAUGACCGCCUUUCUUACAACCAAAACAGUCCCGCUGGCCCUCUGCCCUGGACCCCCGGCACUCUGUACUAGCUCUGUUCUCUUGUGGCCAAGUGUAGCUUGUGUACAAUAAACCUUCUUGCAGUCAGCUGAAGAAUCAAAAAAAAAAGCCAUGUUUCUGGGAAGCAGAGUUUGAGACAAGCAACGGCAUGAACUCAGAUGCAGUUCCAGGGAGAACAACAUCAACUCAAGCUGUCAUGGAAAGUCAGUACAGGGCACCCCUGAAGGUCCGUCACCAUGGUUUUCCCGGAAGGGUUCCUAGUCGCUGGCUGUAGUCGCUGGCUCUUCCGGAAAGCCCCUCCAAAGACUGAGAGGUCCGUUAGACAAGAAGUAAGACAAAGACAACUGGAAAGCCCAAAGGGAGGGAAAUCGCCCUGUGAAAGACACAGAGGCCAGAGCCUUUGAAAGCCGUGGUUAACCAUUGUUCAGAGACAAAGGGCCCAAAUUGAAAGCGGCUGCUGAUUCCGCGACUUGGAGGAUGGGAAAACCAAUUUCUAUUAUCUCACAGAAUGCUGCUUGGGACAUAUUUUUGUUUGUUUGUUUUUUCUAAUGUAGGACAGGCUGUGGAAGCUGAGGUUUAAUGUGUGGCAGCAGAAAAUGCAGUGGGCUUAAACUUGGAUUCCUGGCACAGAUGUGAUGGCCCAGCACAGGUCUCCUCAGAGUGACCUGAAGGAAGAACAAGGGGGAAUACCAGUUAUCUGUCAUGAAAGAGGGAGGAAUAAGACAAGAGUCUCGGGCUGGAGAGAUGGCACAGCGGUCAAGAGCAUUGAUUGCUCUUCCAGAGGUCCUGAGUUCAAUUCCCAGCAACCACAUGGUGGCUCAUCUGUAAUGGGAUCUGAUGCCCUCUUCUUGUGUGUCUGAAGACAGCUACAGUGUACUUACAUAUAAUACAUAAAAUAAAUCUUAAAA
rnacentral:lncRNA from 1 species